rnacentral:rRNA from 1 species
CAUCCCAGUUCGGAUUGCAGGCUGCAACCCGCCUGUAUGAAGUUGGAAUCGCUAGUAAUCGCGGAUCAGCAUGCCGCGGUGAAUACGUUCCCGGGCCUUGUACACACCGCCCGUCACACCAUGAGAGUCGGGAACACCCGAAGUCCGUAGCCUAACCGCAAGGGGGCGCGGCCGAAGGUGGGUUCGAUAAUUGGGGUGAAGUCGUAACAAGGUAGC